ACGUACGCUGGCGGCACGCCUAACACAUGCAAGUCGAACGAAGUAGCAAUACUUAGUGGCAGACGGGUGAGUAACAUGUAGGUAUCUGCCCUUUGGCCUGGAAUAACACGAGGAAACUUGUGCUAAUACCGGAUAAGUCUUUACGGAGAAAGCUUUAUGCACCAUUGGAUGAGCCUGCACUUGAUUAGUUUGUUGGUGGGGUAAUGGCCUACCAAGACUGUGAUCAAUAGCUGAUUUGAGAGGAUGAUCAGCCACAUUGGGACUGAGACACGGCCCAAACUCCUACGGGAGGCAGCAGUGGGGAAUCUUGCACAAUGGAGGAAACUCUGAUGCAGCGAUGCCGCGUGAGUGAAGAAGGCCUUUGGGUUGUAAAGCUCUUUCGUCGGGGAAGAAAAUGACUGUACCCGAAUAAGAAGGUCCGGCUAACUUCGUGCCAGCAGCCGCGGUAAUACGAAGGGACCUAGCGUAGUUCGGAAUUACUGGGCUUAAAGAGUUCGUAGGUGGUUGAAAAAGUUAGUGGUGAAAUCCCAGAGCUUAACUCUGGAACUGCCAUUAAAACUUUUCAGCUAGAGUAUGAUAGAGGAAAGCAGAAUUUCUAGUGUAGAGGUGAAAUUCGUAGAUAUUAGAAAGAAUACCAAUUGCGAAGGCAGCUUUCUGGAUCAUUACUGACACUGAGGAACGAAAGCAUGGGUAGCGAAGAGGAUUAGAUACCCUCGUAGUCCAUGCCGUAAACGAUGUGUGUUAGACGUUGGAAAUUUAUUUUCAGUGUCGCAGCGAAAGCGAUAAACACACCGCCUGGGGAGUACGACCGCAAGGGUUAAAACUCAAAUGAAUUGACGGGGACCCGCACAAGUAGUGGAGCAUGUGGUUUAAUUCGAAGAUACGCGCAGAACCUUACCAACACUUGACAUGUUCGUCGCGACUCUAAGAGAUUAGAGUUUUCGGUUCGGCCGGACGAAACACAGGUGCUGCAUGGCUGUCGUCAGCUCGUGUCGUGAGAUGUUGGGUUAAGUCCCGCAACGAGCGCAACCCUCACUUUUAGUUGCCAUCAUUAAGUUGGGCACUCUGAAAGAACUGCCAGUGAUAAGCUGGAGGAAGGUGGGGAUGACGUCAAGUCCUCAUGGCCCUUACGUGUUGGGCUACACACGUGCUACAAUGGUAUCUACAACAGGAAGCAAAACUGCGAAGUUAAGCAAAUCCCUAAAAGAUACCUCAGUUCGGAUUGCACUCUGCAACUCGAGUGCAUGAAGCUGGAAUUACUAGUAAUCGUGGAUCAGCGUGCCACGGUGAAUGCGUUCCCGGGUCUUGUACACACCGC
rnacentral:rRNA from 1 species